GCCAAGAAGUAAAGAUGUUUUUCAUUUUUGUUUUUUGAACCGGGUAUUUCAAGUGAACUCAUUCCCUCUUGGUUAUAUGCAGCCAGCGAGUUUGACGGUGGAUUUCAUUGAUGGUGAAUGUGACGAAGGAGAGAAGGAUGACAAGUGCAAUAAAUCCAUCAGUAACCAGAA